AGGCGUAUAGCUCAGUUGGUAGAGCGGCGGUCUCCAAAACCGCAGGUCGUGAGUUCGAGGCUUACUGCGCCUG
rnacentral:tRNA from 1 species